rnacentral:lncRNA from 1 species
CGACCUUUAAACCUUCGGCCUCGCCCUUGGCAGUUCCGGCCUCUUCUCGAGCUCUCCAGACAUCCUUCUUCGAGUCCUCGAGCUCCUUCUGAAGAAGAAAGCGCUCAGCCUCCAAGUUUGCUAUCCUCUUCUCCUGUGCUCGAGAGGAGUCCUCGAGCUCGGUGGUUUUUUGGGCCUCAUCUUUCCCUUUCAGAGAAAGGCCUCGAGCAAUGCUCAGAGCCUGCACCAUGUAACCCGAGCUUAAGUAAUCACAGCGUUUAAACCUUUUUAAAACUUGUAUUUUAAGCAAAGUAGAUUGGGCGAGCUUACCUUCAGAGUAAGGGAUUCCAGAGCCUUCAUGCCCUCAUCAAAACCAAGGUCCUUCCUGUACUUGUCCACGAUGCUUGACACCAGAGGACACCAGUCAGGCUCCUGGUUUUGGAAAGAGGGCAUAGGUCGUAUAUCAUCCUCGAGGUCAACAACCUCGGGAGUACUCCUUGGCCGAGGAUGUGACCGAGGUGGACCGGUAGGAGUCUCCGUGGCCUGUGUGGUCGGGGUAUGUCCUCGGGCAGAAGUUUCGCCAGGGCCACUCCUGAUAUUCUCCGUUCCCCGAGCUCUCUUCUUUCCCCUCUUCUGCCCUGGAGCUCGGGUCUGAGGGGCCUUUGACUUCUUGGUCACGGCCUGCCUAAGGGCUGAAGGAUCAAAAGUCAUCUCUGCAAAAAAGAACAAGUCAUUAGAACGAGCACAAUUAUAAGUUCAAGGACAGAUCAGUAAAGAGGAAGGUAAAAAGGUCCUACCCUCAGUGCCUUUCACAUCCGCGAGAUCGAGAACGUCAUCCCCGAGGAUGUCAUCUAUAUCAUAUACAAGAGGCUCGAGGUUCUCUAACAUUACCCUAUGCCUCUCUAAAGAUUCAAAAUAGGCCUGGCCUUCACAAAAUCGAGGAGUGUCGGGCAAAACCCACCUAGGGCUAAAAGGAAGGUCGGUAUCCUGAGGUAUAACAUAAAACCACUUUUCUUUCCAACCUUUUAAAGAGCUAGGCAUCCUCGGUAAUCUAAAUCCUCCUCGGGAUGAAAGGUAAGCAAAGCAAGUAUAUUGAGGAAGCUGUUUCAGGUCGAACACCAUCCUACAGAGAUCGACGUAUGGGUUAAUUCCUAGGUAUCUACAGGCUAUAAAAAAAUAGAUAAGCAUCCUCCACCCAUUUGGCACGAGCUGUCCAGGGCUCAUAUUAUGCUCGACCAAUAAGGCCACAAAAAAGGGAUGCAGAGGCCAUCGAAAUCCCCCCUUAAGUGAGUCCCUAAAAAUCACGAACUCUCCAUCCCGAGCAAAGGCCAUCCUAUCCUCUACCCCUGGUGUCCUAACGUCGCAUUUGGGCAUGAGCCCAUGCUCCCUAGCCGUCGAUAUUGCUAGAUGUUCUUUAAAUUUACAGGGGACCUCGGG